rnacentral:lncRNA from 1 species
GCCUUGUGUGAAUAACGACAGGGAAAUCGUUCUGGAAUGCAUCAAAUCUCCAAAUGUAUUGAGAAAGGCCCAAGGCUUAAAUGCACAAGAAAAAGGAGAAGUACUUAUCAGUGUGAGGCGGGCAAUAGAAUUGCACAUUCUUAGGCAGUUACAUGGGGAAGCAGAAACUUGGUUGUAUCAGGGUGUGGUCAGGACGUCGGAGAUGACUUAGGGCUGGAACAUCUCAUGGUUGUUCUCGGAAUCGAUGUGUUGGUUGUGUUGGUGGCCCGAUUUUGACCCUCUUUUCUUCUCGGGGAAGAGGCCCAAUUCAGAGAUCAAGGGCUGUCUUAAUAGCUCCCAACAGAACACACCUUCAACCUCAGGCAGAUUUCUGCUUUCAAGGUCACCCUGGCUUACAAGUCAGCUAGGGCUAGAGAAACCAUAUCUCAGAAAAAACGAAAAAAAUAAUAGAAAGACAGAAAGAAAGACAGA